rnacentral:lncRNA from 10 species
CGUCGACCCCACGCCACGCAGAGGUGAAGAUACGCAGGACGUCCUCUAAAGCAACUUCCGUGGGUGCCAGGUUGUGGGCUGGGGGCGGUGCUGACCUUGAGAGAGCGGAGGAGGCGCAGGCGCAGCACAGGUACGUGGGCGGGCGGAUCGUGGUGGCUGCGCUUGCGAGGACCCUGAGGUAGAUUGGGUGGUUUCAACAGGAACGCAUCCACUGUCUGAGAGUUUAAACUUGAUUUUGUGAGGGGACGAACAGCGUGACAAUUAAAAGAAGAUCUGGGAAUCAAAAGCUUCCUGAGGCCUUCACCAGAAGCAGAUGCUGGUGCCGUGCUUCUACAGCCUGCAGAACUGAAGGACUUUACAGCUUCUCUUUCGCAUAUCCAAAUUGCCAGCAUCACCGCUCUUGCACUCCAAGCCAUUAUUAAGUAAAGUAAAGAACACAAACACUGUGAUACUGCUACACUUGAUCUGAUAACCAAGAAGUCUACUAAGUGACUAACAGUUAAUAUUUUUGGACAUGAGGUGACUGCAGUUAACUAAAACCAUGGAAAGCAAACCCAUAGAUAAAGGGAUACUAUGCAGAGCAACUGGGAACCUAAUUCUGACCAAAAAGGAGGAAUUGUUUGGCUAAUUGGAAGUGACAGAAACCUUGGGAGAAAGCAACCGCAUACCAAGGAUAAUUAUAAGAAGAAGAGAAGACAUGGAGAAGAGGAGGGAGUAGUUGUGACCGUGGAGGCAGAGAAUGGAGUAAUGUGAUCAUAAAUCAAGGAAUGCUGACAGCCACUAAAGCUGGAGAAGGCCAAGGACAGAUAUUCAAUCCUCCCGUAGAAGUACAGCCCUGCUAAUGCAUUGAUUUUGGACUUCUGGCCUCAGAACUAUUUAUAUAUCAGCUUUUUAUCAGUUGAAAUAAACCACCCUGGGCCGGGUGCAGUGGCUCACACCUGUAAUCCCAGCACUUUGGGAGGCCGAG